GAUGAACGCUAGCGGCAGGCCUAACACAUGCAAGUCGAGGGGUAGCAGGAUUAAGCUUGCUUAAUUGCUGACGACCGGCGCACGGGUGCGUAACGCGUAUGCAACCUACCUUAUACUGGGGUAUAGCCCGGAGAAAUUUGGAUUAAUCCCCCAUAGUACUAAUGAAUCGCAUGGUUUAUUAGUUAAAGCAUUGCGGUAUAAGAUGGGCAUGCGUCCUAUUAGCUAGAUGGUGAGGUAACGGCUCACCAUGGCUACGAUAGGUAGGGGGCCUGAGAUGGUGGUCCCCCACACUGGGACUGGGACACGGACCAGACUCCUACGGGAGGCAGCAAGGAGUAAUAUUGGUCAAUGGGCGCAAGCCUGAACCAGCCAUGCCGCGUGCAGGAAGAAUGCCCUAUGGGUUAUAAACUGCUUUUAUUUGGGAAAAAACCUCUUUACGUGUAGAGAGCUGAAGGUACCAAAUGAAUAAGCACCGGCUAACUCCGUGCCAGCAGCCGCCGUAA
rnacentral:rRNA from 1 species